GCCUGGCUGGCUCAGUUGGUGGAACAUGAGACUCUUGAUCUUGGGGUUGUAGGUUCGAACCCCAUGCUGGGUG
rnacentral:tRNA from 1 species